rnacentral:rRNA from 1 species
GACGUAGGGGGCCAGCGUUGCUCGGAAUUACUGGGCGUAAAGGGUUCGUAGGCGGUGUGGCAAGUCGGGAGUGAAAUCUCUGGGCUUAACUCAGAGGCUGCUUCCGAAACUGCCGUGCUAGAGUGCGGGAGAGGCGAGUGGAAUUGCAGGUGUAGCGGUGAAAUGCGUAGAUAUCGUAAGGAAGACCAGUGGCGAAGGCGGGUCUCUGGACAGUUCCUGACGCUGAGGCACGAAGGCCAGGGGAGCAAACGGG